UGAGGAACAUGACUUUCGGCGGGGGAUAGCCGGCCCAACGGCCGGGUAAUACCGCGUACGACCUUUCGGGGACAUCCCUGAAUGGUGAAAGCAGCAAUGCGCCGAUGGAGUGCCUCGCGGCCUAUCAGCUAGUCGGUGAGGUAACGGCUCACCAAGGCGACGACGGGUAGCUGGUCUGAGAGGAUGGCCAGCCACAGUUGGGACUGAGACACGGCCCAGACCUCCGUACGGGAGCAG
rnacentral:rRNA from 1 species